CGUAGGGUGCGAGCGUUAAUCGGAAUUACUGGGCGUAAAGCGUGCGUAGGCGGUUUGCCGUGUCCUGUGUGAAAGCCCCGGGCUCAACCUGGGAAUUGCAUGGGAAACUGGCAGGCUUGAGUGUGGCAGAGGAGGGUGGAAUUCCGCGUGUAGCAGUGAAAUGCGUAGAGAUGCGGAGGAACACCGAUGGCGAAGGCAGCCCUCUGGGCCAACACUGACGCUCAGGCACGAAAGCGUGGGAGCAAACAGGAUU
rnacentral:rRNA from 1 species